ACAUGUGGUUAAUCGAUGAUACGCGAGGAACCUUACCUGGGCUUAAAUGUAGAGUGCAUUUUUUAGAGAUAGAAAUUCCCUUCGGGGCUUUCUGCAAGGUGCUGCAUGGUUGUCGUCAGCUCGUGCCGUGAGGUGUCGGGUUAAGUCCCAUAACGAGCGCAACCCUUAUCGUUAGUUGCCAUCUGGUAAUGCAGGGGACUCUAGCGAAACUGCCACCGUAAGGUGAGAGGAAGGUGGGAUGACGUCAAAUCAGCACGGCCCUUAUGUCCAGGGCUACACACGUGUUACAAUGGUCGGUACAGAGGGCAGCUACCUGGUGACAGGAUGCUAAUCUCGAAAACCGGUCUCAGUUCGGAUCGAAGUCUGCAACUCGACUUCGUGAAGCUGGAUUCGCUAGUAAUCGCGCAUCAGCUAUGGCGCGGUGAAUACGUUCCCGGGCCUU
rnacentral:rRNA from 1 species